CCUUACCUGGUCUUGACAUCCACAGAACUUUCCAGAGAUGGAUUGGUGCCUUCGGGAACUGUGAGACAGGUGCUGCAUGGCUGUCGUCAGCUCGUGUUGUGAAAUGUUGGGUUAAGUCCCGCAACGAGCGCAACCCUUAUCCUUUGUUGCCAGCGGUCCGGCCGGGAACUCAAAGGAGACUGCCAGUGAUAAACUGGAGGAAGGUGGGGAUGACGUCAAGUCAUCAUGGCCCUUACGACCAGGGCUACACACGUGCUACAAUGGCAUAUACAAAGAGAAGCGACCUCGCGAGAG
rnacentral:rRNA from 1 species